CUCGGGGGGAAGGUCCCUCAACCCAGAUUGCUAGAGGGUGCAGGCUAGGUCGAAGGAUCCCACCAGUGCACG
rfam:Myotis lucifugus cont2.42454, whole genome shotgun sequence.